AGCGAACGCUGGCGGCAGGCUUAACACAUGCAAGUCGAACGGGCAUAGCAAUAUGUCAGUGGCAGACGGGUGCGUAACGCGUGGGAACGUACCUUUUGGUUCGGAACAACACAGGGAAACUUGUGCUAAUACCGGAUAAGCCCUUACGGGGAAAGAUUUAUCGCCGAAAGAUCGGCCCGCGUCUGAUUAGCUAGUUGGUAGGGUAAUGGCCUACCAAGGCGACGAUCAGUAGCUGGUCUGAGAGGAUGAUCAGCCACAUUGGGACUGAGACACGGCCCAAACUCCUACGGGAGGCGGCAGUGGGGAAUAUUGGACAAUGGGCGAAAGCCUGAUCCAGCCAUGCCGCGUGAGUGAUGAAGGCCCUAGGGUUGUAAAGCUCUUUUGUGCGGGAAGAUAAUGACGGUACCGCAAGAAUAAGCCCCGGCUAACUUCGUG
rnacentral:rRNA from 1 species